rnacentral:rRNA from 1 species
AAUUGGUGCCAGCAGUCGCGGUUAUACAAAUAAUGUUAGUAAACUUAAUUGGCCAUAGAAAAACUGAACAGAUGAAUUAAAGAAUAGUUUAUUAAGUGAAAUUUUAAACUAUCAGAUAUUUUAAAGAAACAAGUUGAUUCUAAGAAAUUGAAGAAAAGACUAGGAUUAGAUACCCUAUUAUAAAAAUCGUGAAAAAUUAGGCCUGAGUAGUAAUAGUUAUGUUCUCGAAACUUAAAAAAUUUGGCGGUAUUUUAGUCUAUUCAGAGGAACCUGUCCUAUAAUCGAUAAUCCACGGUGGACCUUACUUGCCCUUGCAUACAGUUUAUAUACCGUCGUUAGCAGAAUAUUUUUAGAGAAUAAUAAUUUUCAUUAAACUUUAUAAAGUUUUAUAUCAGAUCAAGGUGUAGCUAAUGGGUAAGGAGAGAUGGGUUACAAUAAGAUUACUUAUAUGGAAGAGAGUAUGCAAACCUCUCGGAAAGUGGAUUUGAAAGUAAAUUUGUAAAGACAAACAAGUUGACUUUAGCUCUAAAAUAUGCACACAUCGCCCGUCGCUCC